rnacentral:rRNA from 1 species
AACGAACGCUGGCGGCAUGCCUAACACAUGCAAGUCGAACGAGACCUUCGGGUCUUGUGGCGCACGGGUGCGUAACGCGUGGGAACCUGCCCUUAGGUUCGGAAUAACUCCCCGAAAGGGGUGCUAAUACCGGAUAAUGUCUUCGGACCAAAGAUUUAUCGCCUUUGGAUGGGCCCGCGUUGGAUUAGCUAGUUGGUAGGGUAAAAGCCUACCAAGGCGACGAUCCAUAGCUGGUCUGAGAGGAUGAUCAGCCACACUGGGACUGAGACACGGCCCAGACUCCUACGGGAGGCAGCAGUGGGGAAUAUUGGACAAUGGGCGAAAGCCUGAUCCAGCAAUGCCGCGGGAGUGAUGAAGGCCUGAGGGUUGUAAAGCUCUUUUACCCGAGAUGAUAAUGACAGUACCGGGAGAAUAAGCUCCGGCUAACUCCGUG